AUAGAUUGAUGUGAGUAUAUGACAGAUCAUUCGCUAUAUAUAAUGUUGUGACGCCACUAAUAAUUUUAUGUGUCAUUUCAGUAUCCACUCGUGUACCCAAGUUGUUGGAUGCUACUAUUGCAUGUGGUUUAGUACUUGUUUAAAUUAACUACUUAUUUACAAGCUGACUGGGACCAUGAUCUGUACGUCUCUAGGGAGCUGAGGUCCGGUACAAUGGUAUUAGUAAUGAACUCAAGCUUGUUUCCUCAUUUCCGAGUACUUAUUAGGUCAGUCUGGAGUUUUAUAGAAGUUUAUUAGCAUUAAAUUUUGUACGCAUUCAUCAAAAUUGUUGCUUUGGCAAAAUCAUCAUGAGAAGAGAUGAGUGAGAAGUUUCAUCCCUACGAUAUCCAUCAGUCUCAGUUAGCAUGUUCUCGAUCUUGGUAACGGUACAAUUAAACUAAACUUUGCAG
rnacentral:lncRNA from 1 species